GUGAGGAAUAUUGGACAAUGGAUGGAAAUCUGAUCCAGCCAUGCCGCGUGCAGGAAGACGGCCCUAUGGGUUGUAAACUGCUUUUAUACGGGAGCAAUAAGGUCUAUGCAUAGAUUGAUGAGAGUACCGUAUGAAUAAGCAUCGGCUAACUCCGUGCCAGCAGCCGCGGUAAUACGGAGGAUGCGAGCGUUAUCCGGAUUUAUUGGGUUUAAAGGGUGCGUAGGCGGCUUUGUAAGUCAGCGGUGAAAUUUUGCAGCUUAACUGUAAAAGCGCCGUUGAUACUGUGAAGCUAGGAUUUGGUUGCUGUGGGCGGAAUGUGUGGUGUAGCGGUGAAAUGCAUAGAGAUCACACAGAAUAUCGAUUGCGAAGGCAGCUCACAAAGCCAAUAUUGACGCUGAGGCACGAAAGUGUGGGGAUCAAACAGGAUAGAAACCCGUGUAGUCC
rnacentral:rRNA from 1 species